rnacentral:rRNA from 1 species
GAUGAACGCUGGCGGCGUGCCUAAUACAUGCAAGUCGAGCGAACAGACGAGGAGCUUGCUCCUCUGACGUUAGCGGCGGACGGGUGAGUAACACGUGGAUAACCUACCUAUAAGACUGGGAUAACUUCGGGAAACCGGAGCUAAUACCGGAUAAUAUAUUGAACCGCAUGGUUCAAUAGUGAAAGACGGUUUUGCUGUCACUUAUAGAUGGAUCCGCGCCGCAUUAGCUAGUUGGUAAGGUAACGGCUUACCAAGGCAACGAUGCGUAGCCGACCUGAGAGGGUGGUCGGCCACACUGGAACUGAGACACGGACCAGACUACUACGGGAGGCAGCAGUAGGGAAUCUUCCGCAAUGGGCGAAAGCCUGACGGAGCAACGCCGCGUGAGUGAUGACGGUCUUCGGAUCGUAAAACUCUGUUAUUAGGGAAGAACAAAUGUGUAAGUAACUAUGCACGUCUUGACGGUACCUAGUCAGAAAGCCACGGCUAACUACGUG